UACGUAGGGUGCGAGCGUUAAUCGGAAUACUGGGCGUAAAGCGUGCGCAGGCGGCGCGUUAAGACAGGUGUGAAACCCCGAGCUUAACUUGGGAAUUGCGCUUGUGACUGGCGUGCUGGAGUGUGGCAGAGGGAGGUGGAAUUCCACGUGUAGCAGUGAAAUGCGUAGAGAUGUGGAGGAACACCGAAGGCGAAGGCAGUGUCCUGGGGGAGUACCUGACGCUCAGGUGCGAAAGCUAGGGGGGAGCGAACGGG
rnacentral:rRNA from 1 species